UUACGACCAUAUCAUGUUGAAACACCGGUUCUCGUACAAUCCCCGACGUUAAGCAACUUCGCGCCUGGUUUGUAUCAAGAUGGGUGAUAACUCGGGAAUGUCAGGUGUUGUAAG